CUACUUGGAUAACCGUGGUAAUUCUAGAGCUAAUACAUGCUGAAAACCCCAACUUCGGGAGGGGUGUAUUUAUUAGAUAAAAAACCAACGCCCUUCGGGGCUUCUUGGUGAUUCAUGAUAACUUCACGGAUCGCAUGGCCUUGCGCCGGCGACGGUUCAUUCAAAUUUCUGCCCUAUCAACUUUCGAUGGUAAGGUAUUGGCUUACCAUGGUUUCAACGGGUAACGGGGAAUUAGGGUUCGAUUCCGGAGAGGGAGCCUGAGAAACGGCUACCACAUCCAAGGAAGGCAGCAGGCGCGCAAAUUACCCAAUCCCGACACGGGGAGGUAGUGACAAUAAAUACUGAUACAGGGCUCUUUUGGGUCUUGUAAUUGGAAUGAGUACAAUUUAAACCUCUUAACGAGGAACAAUUGGAGGGCAAGUCUGGUGCCAGCAGCCGCGGUAAUUCCAGCUCCAAUAGCGUAUAUUAAAGUUGUUGCAGUUAAAAAGCUCGUAGUUGAAACUUGGGCCUGGCUGGCAGGUCCGCCUCACCGCGUGUACUUGUCCGGCCGGGCCUUUCCUUCUGGAGAACCUCAUGCCCUUCACUGGGUGUGUUGGGGAACCAGGACUUUUACUUUGAAAAAAUUAGAGUGUUCAAAGCAGGCCUUUGCUCGAAUACGUUAGCAUGGAAUAAUAGAAUAGGACGUGCGGUCCUAUUUUGUUGGUUUCUAGGACCGCCGUAAUGAUUAAUAGGGACAGUCGGGGGCAUCAGUAUUCAAUUGUCAGAGGUGAAAUUCUUGGAUUUAUUGAAGACUAACUACUGCGAAAGCAUUUGCCAAGGAUGUUUUCAUUAAUCAGUGAACGAAAGUUAGGGGAUCGAAGACGAUCAGAUACCGUCGUAGUCUUAACCGUAAACUAUGCCGACUAGGGAUCGGGCGAUGUUCUUUUUCUGACUCGCUCGGCACCUUACGAGAAAUCAAAGUUUUUGGGUCUGGUGGGAGUAUGCCACCG
rnacentral:rRNA from 1 species